UACGAAGGGGCUAGCGUUGUUCGGAAUCACUGGGCGUAAAGCGCACGCAGGCGGAUCGUUAAGUCGGGGGUGAAAUCCCGAGGCUCAACCUCGGAACUGCCUUCGAUACUGGCGAUCUUGAGUCCGGGAGAGGUGAGUGGAACUCCGAGUGUAAGAGGUGAAUUCGUAGAUAUUCGGAAGAACACCAGUGGCGAAGGCGGCUCACUGGCCGGUACUGACGCUCAGGUGCGAAAGCGUGGGAGCAAACAGG
rnacentral:rRNA from 1 species